rnacentral:rRNA from 1 species
GAUGAACGCUGGCGGCGUGCCUAAUACAUGCAAGUAGAACGCUGAAGGAGGAGCUUGCUCUUCUGGAUGAGUUGCGAACGGGUGAGUAACGCGUAGGUAACCUGCCUGGUAGCGGGGGAUAACUAUUGGAAACGAUAGCUAAUACCGCAUGACAACAGUUAUUGCAUGAUAACUGUUUAAAAGGGGCAACUGCUCCACUACCAGAUGGACCUGCGUUGUAUUAGCUAGUUGGUGAGGUAACGGCUCACCAAGGCGACGAUACAUAGCCGACCUGAGAGGGUGAUCGGCCACACUGGGACUGAGACACGGCCCAGACUCCUACGGGAGGCAGCAGUAGGGAAUCUUCGGCAAUGGACGGAAGUCUGACCGAGCAACGCCGCGUGAGUGAAGAAGGUUUUCGGAUUGUAAAGCUCUGUUGUAAGAGAAGAACGAGUGUGAGAGUGGAAAGUUCACACUGUGACGGUAUCUUACCAGAAAGGGACGGCUAACUACGUG